CAGAAUCGCAGAAUUCCGGACAGGAAAACGAGGUCAUCGUGGUUUGAGGGAACGUUUAUCAAAAUUAAAUCCCAAUGGAAAAUUGACGUGGGUUUAAAUUGUCUCUCAUCACCGACAUCAGUUUGAACACAUUGACGCUUGGGUUGGAACUAUCGGGCAGCAUUUAAUUGGACAGUUUAACUUAUCGCUAGUGAACGUCAUAAAAUGAUGAUGACGUACCAUAAACCGAUUAUAAAGGUAUGAAUGCAAAGUCCCAUAACCAAGAUUAGAAAGAAACCACCAGCCAGAAAGUCAGAGAGAGAGAGAAAGAACCCAACAGGUAGAAUCAAUCUUGACUUGAUAUUGUGUGGUACUAACGCAAAGAAAACAAAGAAUAAUGUUUCAAAGUUUCUAUUUCUCUAAAGGCCAGUUUUCAUAUUGGAAAGAACCAAAAAUUGAAAAUUUU